UUUUGUGAUGUGUGUGGUGACUUGCACAAGCUUGCAAAGUGGUCACUUGUUAAUUCUGAUUUCAGGGACUUAGCAAUUCCACUAAGUCCUUGAGCUGUUUAUUUCAUAUGGCCAUAUGUUCAUGUUGUUUCCUAGUGAUCCGUGCCUCUUUUAAGGAUGAUCAGCAAGGGUGUUUUGUUAACAUUGUAGUGCUUUAUCCAUCCAUGUCUUUGUUUGCAAUUAUGGAGCACCCUAGCUUGAGUCAAUCGAGCUCUACUUUUGCUACUUUGUGAAUCUGGGCAGAGUGUCAACUUGUUUGCAAUUUUGCCGAUGAUGUUGUAGUUGAUCUUUGCAUGCUAUGCUAUUGUUCUUGCCAUGUCUAGCUUGAAUUUUGUGCCUUCUUGAUGGGUGUAUGCUUAGCUUUUCAUGACUUGCACCGUAGUGAGUGCAUCGAGCUCGUAAACAUGCCUACUUGAGUUAUGUUUCAGCAUGUGCCAGUUUUCACUAAGUCUGUGAUCUGAUUGUGUUUUUGCCAUGUUCACAUGCUUGCAAUUGUAUUUUCUGAUCCCUUUUGGCUCAAGGUCACUAAGGGACUUUUGUUAAGCUCUUUGAGUAGCUCCAUGCCAUGCUUUACUUUGACAUGUUCAGGUCCUGUAGCAUGUAGUUUUGUUGCUCCAAAGAGGGCUACCUGAUCUGAGAUUCCAAACAAGUGUUAAUUUCACCAAGUCUGAGAUCUGUUUGCUAUAUGCAUUUUUGUCAUGCUCGUUUAAACCUGUUAAUGGAUGAAUUGGCCGUAGCUCAGUGCUAGACUUUUGUUAAGCAUCUUGUAUGCAUCCCUGCCAUGUAUUUUGUUGUCAUGUUUGGGCGCUGUAGCAUGUUCAUUCCAUUGUAUUUAGAUGGCUACUUGCUGUAAAUCGCAGACCGGAGUCAUUUUUGAAUCGCUUGUCAUUUCCAAACCGUAACUCUGAUUCCGACGUUCUUUAUAUCAUUUUCAAGCGAUUUCAUCUCAUAUUUCCAGUGGCACACUUGGAUUCCCAAGUUGAGGCCAGGUUCAUGCAUCCCUUGUCAAAUCUUGCAUUUGCAUCCCGCAUCGCAUCCCGCAUAGCAUAUCAUCUUUGCAUCAUUUUGUUUGUUCCUUGCACGUGGUUGAUUGUGUCCUUGUUGUUUGUUUGUCUUGUUUGGGUAGAGCCGGGAGACGAGUUCACUAACGAGGAGCCCUUUGAGUUUGCUUUCGAGGAUCCAGUCAACUCUGACAACUGUGGAGGCAAGAUGAUCAUAACCUCGAAAUCACUACUAUCUUUGCUAUGCUAGUUUGCUCGCUCUUUUGCUAUGCCAAUGCUACGAUGCCUACCACUUGCUUUCAAGCCUCCCAAAUUUCCAUGUUAAACCUCUAACCCACCAUGUCCUAGCAAACCGUUGAUUGGCUAUGUUACCGCUUUGCUCAGCCCCUCUUAUAGCGUUGCUAGUUGCAGGUGAAGAUUGGAGUCCGUUCCUUGUUGGAGCAUUUAUUUACUUGUUGGGAUAUCAUUAUAUUAUCUUGUUAUCUUAAUGCAUCUAUAUACUUGGUAAAGGGUGGAAGGCUCGGCCUCUCGCCUAGUGUUUUGUUCCACUCUUGCCGCCCUAGUUUCCGUCAUAUCGGUGUUAUGUUCCCGGAUUUUUGCGUUCCUUACGCGGUUGGGUUAUAAUGGGAACCCCUUGAUAGUUCGCCUUGAUUAAAGCUUUUCCAGCAAUGCCCAACCUUGGUUUUACCAUUUGCCACCUAGCCUCUUUUCCCUUGGGUUUCCGGAGCCCGAGGGUCAUCUUAUUUUAGCCCCCUCGGGCCAGUGCUCUUCUGAGUGUUGGUCCCACCGAGCGAUGUCCGGGGCUACCAGGGGCAACUCUGGGCUGGCCUACCCGACGUCUGGCUCAUCUGAGUGUGCCGUGAGAACGAGAUAUGUGCAGCUCCUAUCGGGAUUUGUCGGCACAUUCGGGCGGUGUUGCUGGUCUUGUUUUAACCCGUCGAAGUGUCUUGAAGAACCGAGAUAUCGAGUCUGAUCAGAACGUCUUGGGAGGAGGUCUAUUCCUUCGUUGACCGUGAGAGCUUGUCAUAGGCUAAGUUGGGACUCCCCUGUAGGGAUUUGAACUUUCGAAAACCGUGCCCGCGGUUAUGGGCAGAUGGGAAUUUGUUAAUGUCCGGUUGUAGAUAACUUGAACCUUAACUUAAUUAAAAUGAAUCAACUGAGUGUGUUACCGUGAUGGCCUCUUCUCGGCGGAGUCUGGGAAGUGGACACGGUGUUGGAGUAAUGCUUGCGCAGGUUGUCCUCUAGUUUCUCGCUCGCGCUUUGCCUCCUCUUCUCGCUCUCUUUUGCGAACAGGUUAGCCACCAUAUUUGCUAGUCGCUUGCUGCAGCUCCACAUAUUUGCCUUGUCUUAUCUAUAAGCUUAAAUAGUCUUGAUCGCGAGGGUGCGAGAUUGCUGAGUCCCUGUGGCUCACAGAUUACUAUUACGCCAGAUGCAGGGCCUGAUGAUUCCGCUCCAGGAGACGCGCUUGAGCUCAAGUGGGAGUUCGACGAAGACUCUCAACGUUACUAUGUUUCCUUUCCUGAUGAUCAGUAGUGGUGCCCAGUUGGGGGUGAUAGGGACCGUGUCGCAUGUUGGGUUCUCUCUUUUAUUUUGGCGCCGUAGUCGGGCCAUGAGUGUUUGGAUGAUGUAAUGUUAUUUAUGUACUUGAUUGACGUGGCGAGUGUAAGCCAACUAUGUUAUCUCCCCUUUAUGAUUUAUAUUACAUGGGAUGUUGUGAAGAUUGCCUAACUUGCGACAUAUGCCUUCAAUGCGAUUAUGCCUCUAAGUCGUGCCUCGACACGUGGGAGAUAUAGUCGCAUCAAGGGUGUUACACCGUCCUUCUUGAAGUUCUUCUUACCCUUGCCUUUCUUGAACUUAGUGGUUUUAUUCACCAUCAACACUUGAUGUUCCUUUUUGACUUCUACCUCUGCUGAUUUCAGCAUUGCAAAUACUUCAGGAAUGGUCUUUUCCAUCCCGUGCAUAUUGAAGUUCAUCACAAAGCUCUUGUAGCUUGGUGGAAGCGACUGAAGGAUUCUGUCAAUGACCGCGUCAUCCGGGAGAUUAACUCCCAGCUGAGUCAAGUGGUUAUGCAACCCAGACAUUUUGAGUAUGUGCUCACUUACAGAACUAUUUUCCUCCAUCUUACAGCUGAAGAACUUGUCGGAGACUUCAUAUCUCUCGACCCGGGAAUGAGCUUGGAAAACCAUUUUCAACUCUUCGAACAUCUAAUAUGCUCCGUGUCGCUCAAAACGCUUUUGGAGCCCCGGUUCUAAGCUGUAAAGCAUGCCGCACUAAACGAGGGAGUAAUCAUCAGCACGUGUCUGCCAAGCGUUCAUAACGUCUUGGUUCUGUGGGACGGGUGCGUCACCUAGCGGUGCUUCUAGGACAUAAUCUUUCUUGGCAGCUAUGAGGAUGAUCCUCAGGUUCCGGACCCAGUCCGUAUAGUUGCUGCCAUCGUCUUUCAGCUUGGUUUUCUCUAGGAACGCGUUGAAGUUGAGGACAACGUUGGCCAUUUGAUCUACAAGACAUAUUGUAAAGAUUUUAGACUAAGUUCAUGAUAAUUAAGUUCAUCUAAUCAAAUUAUUCAAUGAACUCCCACUUAGAUAGACAUCCCUCCAGUCAUCUAAGUAUAACAUGAUCCGAGCUGACUAGGCCGUGUCCGAUCAUCACGUGAGACGGACUAGUCAACAUCGGUGAACAUCUUCAUGUUGAUCGUAUCUUCUAUACGACUCAUGCUCGACCUUUCGGUCUUCUGUGUUCCGAGGCCAUGUCUGUACAUGCUAGGCUCGUCAAGUCAACCUAAGUGUAUUGCGUGUGUAAAUCUGUCUUACACCCGUUGUAUGUGAACGUUGGAAUCUAUCACACCCAAUCAUCACGUGGUGCUUCGAAAUAACGAACUGUCGCAACGGCGCACAGUUAGGGGGAACACUUUCUUGAAAUUAUUAUGAGGGAUCAUCUUAUUUACUACCGUCGUUCUAAGUAAACAAGAUGCAAAAACAUGAUAAACAUCACAUGCAAUCAAAUAAUAAUGACAUGAUAUGGCCAAUAUCAUAUAGCUCCUUUGAUCUCCAUCUUGGGGCUCCAUGAUCAUCUUGUCACCGGCAUGACACCAUGAUCUCCAUCAUCAUGAUCUCCAUCAUCAUGUCUCCAUGAAGUUGCUCGCCAACUAUUACUUCUACUACUACGGCUAACACGUUUAGCAAUAAAGUAAAGUAAUUUACAUGGCGUUUCUCAAUGACACGCAGGUCAUACAAAAAAUAAAGACAACUCCUAUGGCUCCUGCCGGUUGUCAUACUGAUCGACAUGCAAGUCGUGAUUCCUAUUACAAGAACAUGAUCAAUCUCAUACAUCACAUAUAUCAUUCAUCAUUCAUCACAACCUUUGGCCAUAUCACAUCACAAAACACUUGCUGCAAAAACAAGUUAGACGUCCUCUAAUUAUUGUUGCAAGUUUUUACAUGGCUGCUAUAGGUUUCUAGCAAGAACGUUUCUUACCUACGCCAAAACCACAACGUGAAUUGCCAAUUUCUAUUUACCCUUCAUAAGGACCCUGUUCAUCGAAUCCGAUCCGACUAAAGUGGGAGAGACAGACACCCGCCAGCCACCUUAUGCAACUAGUGCAUGUCAGUCGGUGGAACCGGUCUCACGUAAGCGUACGUGUAAGGUUGGUCCGGGCCACUUCAUCCCACGAUGCCGCAGAAUCAAGAUAAGGCUAGUAACGGCAAGCAAAUUGACAAUAUUGACGCCCAAAACUACUUUGUGUUCUACUCGUGCAUACUAACUACGCAUAGACCUAGCUCAUGAUGCCACUGUUGGGGAUCAUAGUAGAAAACAAAAAAAUUUCCUACGUUUCACCAAGAUCAAUCUAUGGAGUCAACUAGCAACGAGAGGAGAGUGCAUCUACAUACCCUUGUAGAUCGCGAGCGGAAGCGUUCAAGAGAACGGGGAUGAUGGAGUUGUACUCGCCGUGAUCCAAAUCACCGAUGACCAAGUGCCGAACGGACGGCACCUCCGUGUUCAACACACGUACGGAGCGGAUGACGCCUCCUCCUUGAUCUAGCAAGGGGGAAGGAGAGGGUUGAUGAAGAUCCAGCAGCAUGAUGGCGUGGUGGUGGAUGCAGCAGUGAACGCGGCAGGGUUUCACCGAGCUUCAGCGAGAGGGAGAGGUGUAGCAGGGAAGAGGGAGGCACCAAGACUUGAGGUGCGGCUGCCCUCCCUCCCCCCUUUAUAUAGGCCCCCUAGGGGGGUGCGCCGGCCCUAGGAGAUGGGAUCUCCUAGGGGGGCGGCGGCCAAAGGGGUGGAGCACCCCCAAGGCAAGUGGAGGCGCCCCCUCCCCUAGGGUUCCCAACCCUAGGCGCAUGGGGGCCCAAGGGGGGGCGCACCAGCCCACUAUGGGCUGGUUCCCCUCCCCACUUCAGCCCAUGGGGCCCUCCGGGAUGGGUGGCCCCACCCGGUGGACCCCCGGGACCCAUCCGGUGGUCCCGAUACAAUAUCGGUGACCCCGAAACUUUCCCGAUGGCCGAAACUACACUUUCUAUAUAUAAUUCUUCACCUCCGGACAAUUCCGGAACUCCUCGUGACGUCCAGGAUCUCAUCCGGGACUCCAAACAACUUUCGGAUUACUACAUACUCAUAUCUAUACAACCCUAGCGUCACCGAACCUUAAGUGUAGACCCUACGGGUUCGGGAGACAAGCAGACAUGACCGAGACGACUAUCUGGUCAAUAACCAACAGCGUGAUCUAGAUACCCAUGUUGGCUCCCACAUGCUCCUCGAUGAUCUCAUCGGAUGAACCACGAUGUCGAGGACCUAAUCAAUCCCGUACUCAAUUCCCUUUGUCAAUCGGUACGUUACUUGCCCGAGACUCGAUCGUCGGUAUCCCAAUACCUUGUUCAGUCUCGUUACCGGCAAGUCACUUUACUCGUACCGUAAUGCAUGAUCCCGUGAUCAACCACUUGAUCACAUUGAGCUCAUUAUAAUGAUGCAUUACCGAGUGGGCCCAGAGAUACCUCUCCGUCAUACGGAGUGACAAAUCCCAGUCUCGAUUCGUGCCAACCCAACAGACACUUUCGGAGAUACCUGUAAUGUACCUUUAUAGUCACCCAGUUACGUUGUGACGUUUGGCACACCCAAGGCACUCUUACGGUAUCCGGGAGUUGCACAAUCUCAUGGUCUAAGGAAAUGAUACUUGACAUCCAGAAAAGCUACAGCAAAUGAACUACACGAUCUUUGUGCUAUGCUUAGGUUUGGGUCUUGUCCAUCACAUCAUUCUCCUAAUGAUGUGAUCCCGUUAUCAAUGACAUCCCCAUGUCCAUAGCCAGGAAGCCAUGACUAUCUGUUGAUCAACGAGCUAGUCAACUAGAGGCACACUAGGGACACAUUGUGGCCUAUGUAUUCACACAUGUAUUACGAUUUCCGAAUAAUACAAUUAUAGCAUGAAUAAUAGACAAUUAUCAUGAACAAGGAAAUAUAAUAAUCAUUUUAUUAUUGCCUCUAGGGCAUAUUUCCAACAAUACAUGCAACGUUCCAAUAUCCAUUUCCAUGCCACGCUUCUAAAUACUGCUUGCUCUCUUCAAUACUUGUUACUUGGCAACUGUUGGGUAAUUCUUGCUAUCAUUUACAUUUUCGCAACCUGAAACACUCAAAUGACUCCUUUGUCAUUGCUACUAAUAAUCUUUCUCAAGCAAGUAUUGGUUACAUGUAUGUUUUUGAAAAUUUUGAAAUAUGAUUGUGUGUUUAUGAAAAUUAUGAAAUGGUUUAAAUUUAUGUUUCUGAAAAUUAUUAAGUUACUGAAAUAUGUGUUUCUAUUUUCUGAAAUUAUUAAAAUGUUACUCAAAUUAUUGAAAUUUUUUGUUUCUAAAAUAUAUGAAAUGAUAGUUUGUCUCUUAUGAUUUUCUGAAUUAGUCACUGAAAUAAUUACUUUUUUUAAUCAUCAUUGAAUUAUAUUUUAGUUUUUAAUUAAAAUAAUAAUAACAAUUACUCCCUCCAUAAAGAAAUGUAAUUAUAAUAGUAAUAAUAACAAUUACAUUUUUAUAUUUCUUUACGGAGGGAGUAUUGUUUUUGAUAUAACAAUACCGAAAAUCAAGUAAUAACAGAUACAUAAGUUAUACCAUGUAGAAUACCUUGUAUUGCUACUCACGUGGCAGCUUUACAUGGCAAGAGCGUUAGAGUGCUUUUGCCAACAAGCAUGCUACUAGUGAACAAAUCUUAAUUGUAUAUACUGUACACCACAAGCUAGGAUUUGCUAAGCACGCAGGCAAUUCACCUACUGUUUUCCCCCUCGUCAAAAAAGAAGAAGAGAAACACACCCAUAACAAGUUUGUUCAAGCCUCACCCGCCAAAAAAGAAGAAGUUCAAGCCAUAUAUCAAUCUGAAUGAGUCCGGAACAGUUUCAUGAGACCAUAGGUGACCGCCAUCGCCACCAAUCCUCCCAGCGCGGCCCUCAGCCCGGCCCGCCCCCCUGGAGCGCGGCCCUGCACCGCCCCGAGGGCGCCGAACGCCGCCAAGGCCAGAGUCGCCGUCGCGACGACCACGGCGACCCGCACCCCGUAGCUUGUCACGAACCACGCCGCGAGCAGCGGGAUGGCCGCGCCGGCCGCGAAGGACAGCGCCGAGGCCGCCGACGCGUGGCACGGGUUCGGCAGCCCGGCCCGGUCCGCCGGGUACCCGCGCGCCUCCUCGAGCCGCUGGAGCCCGGCCAGCUCCACGUCCAGCUGCGCGUGGACCGACACGUACUCGCCGAUGGCCAUGCUGCAGGCGCCGGCGACGAGGCCCGCCACGCCCGACAGGAGCGCCGCCCGUGGGUCGGCGGGUCGCGCCGCGCCGAUGCCGAGCAUGAGCGCUGAGGUGGAGACGAGGCCAUCGCUUGCGCCGAGGACGGCGGCGCGCAGCCACUGCCCCUGCUGUGACGGCAGCGACAUGGCGUCGUGGGUGGCCGUGGCUACGCAGACGGUGCAGAGUUUCAUGGCCUCCGGCGCGGGGGUUGGGCCGAGCUCUGCUACAGCGAGCUUGGUGUCAUUGUCGGUGGCCAUUUUAUGUGGGAGCAGAGGCGUGCGACUGCCACACGCACAAAAGCAUACGAGAGUGUGGCGAACAUAAGACCCCGUAUAUAUACCGACGAGGCAGUAGAGCAGCGAGGCGAUUAUAUGUGAAGGUAACAUCUGUAGCAGUAUCUGUAGUGAUGCACAAUGUGACGUCUCCUUAGGAAUAACAAGGAUUUACAUACAUAGUCAUUUUCACUAUCUAGGUAUGGUCAUAUGCACAGUUUAUGUGCUUUUGACAUCAUUUAAUUUUUCGUACGUAUUUGUUCUGGUGUUCUUAGGAAAUGUGGGAAUUAGAUGUUUCUUACUGUAUUGCAUAUACUUUCAGAUUUUUUUUCUGUUCGAAAAGGCUUAAGGCCAUAAAUUAAGUAUCAGAAGUACUUACAAACACACCCUUACAGAAAAAAAUUACAUCAAAAUUCUUAAUGGUGCUAAAGUCUUCUUCCUCCGGCAUCCACCGGCAAUGCCUCGUGAACAAAGCUCGAUGCAGCCUCUGGGCCUCCGCCUCAACGAAGCAAACUUGUUUAAACCCAUGAGCUUGUAGAAGUGGUGGCCAUGAAGCCAUCUAUGUAGGUCAGAAGACGUCUGUCCGGGAUCUACGUCGCAAAUCGCCGUCUGCAGAAGAAGAGGCCGAAAGAGCAUGUAAAUACUCCAAAGAACACGAAAGCCGAUCAAAUUGAGAUGGAUCAAUCGGUCACCAAAGCUGACCGGUUGUCAUGCCAGAAAAGGGCCUUCUUCCUGGGCGUGGAGUUUCUAAUCUCGAGCUAAUGCUCCUGGAUGAACGGUGAAUUCAAAAAAAUAGACUUUUUUCAUAAAAUUAUGAAAUUUUGUGUGGCAAACUUUAAGAAAUGUUUGAAUUGCAUGUAAGUUUUCGUCAUGAAAUCACAUUGAUGGAAGGCGUGAUAAAAAAACAAAAUCCAUUCUCUCAAAAUGUUACUUUCAAACGCAUUUUGGACCUUUUAUUUUUUGCAACGACUUCCACCAAUGUGAUUUUGUGAUAAAAAUUUGUAGGCACUUCAAACAAUUCUUAAAGUUUGCCAAAAAAAAUCAAGAUUUUUUUAUAUAUUUUUUAUUUUACUGUUCAUCCAUGGCAUUUGAGUUCGAGAUUAGAAGGGUACUUCCAUUUCCUAUCCCUCAAAGUAAUAUUCGUGAAUGCACAAAUCCAUGUUGUUUUUGUUGCAGAUGGGCUUCAAUUGCCCGCCCAAAGGAAAUGGUAGCAGCAUUAUUGUUUUAGAGCAUCUUCAACAGGUGCCGAACGUGGCGCGCGUAAAAAAUAGCUUUAGCGUGCGCCUAUCGCUUGGUUUGGCGCGGCGCGCAGCGACCGCUCCAGCAGCCGCGCUAAAAUGCAGCGCGCGCGCGCGCCGCUCCAGCAGCGCGCAAAAAAUGCAGCACGCGCGCUCAUUCUAUAAACUAGAAAUAUAGGCAUUGGAAGCAUAAAAACUAGAUAGAUUGCAUAGAUUUUAAACGAUACAAAGGUAUUUUACAUCGAAAACAUAGAUUGCAUAAUAACAAAAACGACAAACGAUAAAAAACGAGAUAGAUUGCAUAAAAAAAACUACUCUAAGUCGCUAUCAUCAUCACCAUUAUCAUCCUCAGCGGUGUCGUCCGAAGUAUCUAGCCAGAUGUCCAGCCACCGAUCAUCGUCCCGCGUGAAGAACGACUGCCCACCUGCUGCAACGAGAUCGGACUGCGCAUUCGCCAACGCCUUCCGCCGACGCCUGUCCAACCGCUACUCCCGGCGCCUUUGCGUGUCCUUCUCGCGGCGCCUUGCCCAGUAUACCUGCUCGUAGGCGACGUCCUCCGGGUAGCGCCGGCGCCACUCCGCCAUGACCUGCUCGUCCUCCUGGGCGACGAGGAGGCGGCGCUGCCGCUCGGCGUGCUCCGCACGGUCUUGCGCCGUGUUCAGACGAGGCGGCGGGGCGACGUCGAGCGCCUGCUGGAGCGUGUACACAUCUUGGAAGUUCAUCUGGCCGCGCGGCCGGCCUAGGCGCCACGCCGCCGCGUCGUACGCGUGGGCGGCCUCGUGCGCCGUCCGGUAGGUGCCGAGGCCGAGCCGGAGAUCGCUGGAGCGUAUCUCCGAGUAGUAGCCGCCGUUGAGGCGUAGGCGGACACCGCGGUAGCCGAACGCUCCUCGACGGCGCGGCGGCAUGGCGGCGCGGCGGUGGCGGGGCGCUGGAGCGGUGGAGGCGCGUCGGUGGCGGGGCGCUGGAGCGGUGGAGGCGCGUCGGUGGCGGGGCGCUGGAGCGGCGCGUGGCAAAGAGGGAGAGGAAGAGGAGAAGAGGAGGCGUGGAGAAGGCGCGUGGCGCGCGCCGCACUUUAUAGGCGCGCCGGAAGCGGUGCGCAAAAAAUGACGCGCGAGCUGGCGCCUUUUCGCGCGCGCGCAAACGGUUCCCGCGCGCGCGAGUUUCCCGCCGUUGCUGGAGCGCGGCAUAACGCCCCGCGCGCAUUAAAAGCUGGGUUUACCGCGCGCGCGUCGUUUGGCACGGCCAUUGGAGAUGCUUUUACUGGAGCUUGAUGAUGUCCAAACUAAGGUACCCUUGCCUAAUUAUAAAAAACAAGUUAAUUAUGGAUUUUGGUACUAUCUAUGUACACAUAGACAUAUCGUUUGGAUAUCAUAUUGAAAAGAACAAGCGGUCAAAGAUUCACAACCGAAGACCAAUACCAACUCAGAUGUCCAAGACCACGUCUGCCUUGGUUGAUCACUAUCGGUCUCCCGUUUCCGCGGGAAUGAACGUCGACCCGGUGGAAACUCCUAUCCAAGAGUUUUGUAAGAACUUGGAAUCUUGGAUUGUCUUGCCUUGUUUCUUACACGCGUGGCUGGCAACCUGGCAGUAGCACUGGAGUAGGACAAGCAAUGCUUUGAGUCAUCGGUAAAAUCGGAGGCGCCCUGCUGCUUCAACAGGAGAGGUUACCUCCUACAUAUAAACAACUCAACGUCUUGGGUUGUCUUUCUCUUCCGGCAAUGCAGACACCGAUGUUGUAGUAGAAAAUUGCUUGGAACGCUGAACUACCAGAUUCCAUAGAAAAAAUGUAGUCCAUCUGUAACGAAAUAUAAAAGUAUUUGUAUAUUUCUUUACGGAGGAAGAAAAGUGACCUAAACACUUCUAUUUUUCUUUACAGAGGAAGUAACGAAGAAUUGCACAUCAACUUCAAGAAAAUUUAGGGUUCCUUUGCCUCUCGCCGACACCCUCGCCGGCCCGCCUCGUCUCCGGUGGCUUUAGGACCAUGGCAGCGCGGUGGAUCCCGGCCCUUACUGGCGUGAGGGCUCCGUUUUUAAUUGUUUCUUCAACUUUUGUUAGGGUUUGUGUCCUGCUCAGGAAGACGAGACGGUGGCGGCUCCCUGAAGAUGGAAUAAGGUUCUCCCCGCCUAGCCCCCGUUCCGGUGGUGUGUCUAGCAUCGUCGGUGGGCGUGUGGAGAUGUGUCUUCGGCGGAUCUAUCGUUUGUGGAUUUGCUCGGAUCUGGUCGUAAUUCGUCUACGUUUGUAUUUUUUCAGAUUGGAUCCCUCCGAUCUACGCUACUCUUUAUCGGCGGCGGUUGUUAUUCUGUUGCGCUGGUUCUAUGGGACAUUAGCACUGUUGAAAUAUAUUGCCCACCUUCCUCCAUCAGUUUAGACUUUUGAAUGAGUUGGCUGGUGCAUGAAUUCAAUAUGGUAUCAGAGCCAAGAGGUCUUGAGUUCCCCACCUCACUCCAUUAGUUCAGACUUUUGGAUGAGUUAACUGAUGCAUGAAUUCAAUAAGCACGACGACUUCCCGACUGUCUACUACAAGUUUUGCCCGGCUCCGGCGGGGGAGGAGCGAUGACGGUGGCGCCCUUCGGCUCGCUUUAGUGCUUGUAGUCGUCGCUAUGUGAUCUAUGGACAUGGGUGUAAUUUUUAUUAUUUUUGAUGUUCAUUGUAUUGCCAUGAUUGAAGAUGAAUAGAUUGAAAGUUUUCUAAAAAGAAAAACUUCAGUAUGUAACAUCUACAUGUAUCUCACCAAAAAAAACAUGUAUGCCAUAUUUAUUUUGAAUGAAGAUACAUAGUAUAAAUGGAACUCUAUUUUUCUUGUGGGUAAAGUCUCUAUUUUUUGGCAGAGGUAAUAUCUCUUUUUGGAAAGAGAGAACACUAAAUCCGUGAAGAAUAUUUUCUAUUUUAUUUUAACUUUCUACUACUCUCCUUCAUUUGACACUACAACAGGGUUCCAGACAGUUCAGACUCCCUACUGCUCGUCUUCAUUUGAGACCGUUGGAGGCCGUUUUUGUCUGGACAAGUAGAUAAAGAAAAUACUUUCUUUAAAGUUGAAUCAGUGACAAGUAAUAUGAACCCGAGGGAGUACCUUAUUGGGUUCAAUCUACUUGAGGGCACAUAUCUGCCACGUGGGAUCCGAGUGGCAAAUAUAAUUCGGCAGCCAAUAAUUUUAUCACAGUGAAAAAUGUGCAUGUUUCUCAUACAGUUAUAUGAACAGCUCUGUUAUUAUGGAUAUCUUCCGCCAGACAGCUGCUAGGUUGUAGCUUGCUCCUUGCUAGACGAGGGGCUAACUUAGCUGCUCACUUGAGAUUACAACUACACCUAUCUGCUUAGCCCGCAAAAAAAACACCUAUCUUCUCUACUGCUUAUAAACGCACGAAUUUGAUGAAUUCAAAUGUUCUGUGCCAUCCAACCAUCUACUCCCUCCGUUCCAAAUUACUCAUCGCAGAAAUUGAUGUAUUUAGAACUAAAAUACAUCUAGAUACAUCCAUACUGUUGACAUCAGUUUUUGGCACGGUCAAAAAUUUAUUUAAGAAGACCUCAAAUGAAGAAGUGAUCUACAUGAAAGAAUUACGUAUUAUUAAUAUGAAUAUCUUUGAAGUUUGGGUCAUCGCCGUCCGAUUUCAUCUCGAAGGCCGAAACUAUGUUCAAAGUAUUAAGAUCUUAUAUUCAGAGUACAGUUUGACCGAUUAAGCCUCCAAGACGACCUCAAAUGGAAAAAUGAUCUACACCGGUUGUCUUUGUCUCGUCGAAACGAUCGAUUUUUAUAUAAAAAUCGUCCAAAUCCAAAUUCAUAUGCAAAAGUUAAAGCAAUUGGAGUGCAGCUCUGUCACGAGGCGAGAUGUGGCGCGCCCCACCAGACACAUGUCUGAUGGGUAGCGCGAGGGAAUAGCCUGUUUUGCGCGACCGAUUUGACCCUCAAGAUGACCUCUGAUAAAAAAACCCUUGAACAUGAAAGUUGUUCGUCUCGUCGAAACGGUCAAGAUUUUAGGCUCGUUUUCAUCUGAGAUCGUUUACCACCACAAAAAAUACCCGCAAGGUGCAGCCAGUUUAAACCGAACAGUUUUGGAAAGUUCGGAUAAAACCAAUCCGAAUUUGACUAGGGUUUUGGACGUGAAUCCAAGCCUUUUCCUUGCACGGGAAGUCCAGCCGCCUCUUAUAUAUCUAAGGGGUGACGGUCGAUUGAACAACACACAAUCGAUCAAUUCAUCUACCACUUUUUAUCUUUUAUAUUUUCUCCUUAACCCUAGUUCUUCUUCUUCCUCGUUCUUCGCCUGUUCUUCUUGUUGCAGGGUGGUGAAUCUCGAGGCCCUAGGGGUGAUCAGGUCGACCUAGGGCAGCCCAUAGCCGCCGCGCGCCCUGACGGGGUCCCUCCCGGGCGCGUGGGGUUUCGGGUCAUCAAAAGCGCCCGCCGGAUUGUCUGCGUACCGCGCUUCCGGACGGGUCUCCUUCGACGUGAGCUGCGGUGCAUCACCCCCAGCGUCGAGGGUACACGGUGACAUGUUCGUGUGCGAACACACUUUUUGGCGACUCCGUUGGGGACGAAGAUUUGAACGGUCUCCGGCCCGUUCUUGCUACGAAGAGAUCGUCAUCUAGGGUUUGACAUCUACGAAGGUAAUAUGAAUACCCAAUUCACUUAUGUAGAUGCAAAUAAUGCAUAUGUUGUUGGUAGAUCAUCUAAUGAGCAUAAUGUAUCGGCUAGCCCUAGUUUUAUCAAUCAUGUAUCUAAUUAUGUGCAACGGUUCAGAAUAAUCUUCAUGCUUCAACUUCAUAGAAUUUUAGCAACAUGCAACAUAUGUAUCCCAACUCCCAUGCAUCGGCAACCCCACAAAUUUAUAUGCUGAUGAAUAACAUGAUGAGUUCGGUUAAUCAAGUUGAGACACCCUAUGUAGGAACUUCCAAUGGUAUGCAACAAAGUGUUUCAAGUUUUAUUCAUCGGCAAAUAACUUGUAGUAUGUUAAUCCAAACAUGCCGGUGGAUCGGGGAAUUGGCCAUGUUACUACUAGUUAUUUGGCCAAUUAGCCUCAAUCAUCAUAUGAUACACCUCAUGUUAGUAAUUUUUCAGCACCGCAUGCAACUGUAGAUGUUCAUAAUUCGGCCCCACAUCUUCAUGGUCAUAGCCGAGUAAGUGAAAAUUUUACAGGAACACAUGUGCCGUCAUCAAAUACUGUAGCAUAUAAUGCAUACUCUACGCAAUUUGAGAAUUUCGGCAACACUCGCGAAUCAUUACCGAAAGAAUCUGAAAGUAUUGUGGAGCAAUCUCUUCCGGAAGCGGCUGUGGCUGCAUUAAAAAAGAGAUUGGCACAAAACAAGAGGAUUAGUGCUCUUUGCCUUGAACAAUAUGAAAAGGGGUUGUUUCGUGAUUAUGCUGCAAUAAAGGCUAGAGUUUUGCAAGAAGAUGAAACUUCAUCAAUCGAUAGAAUUGGCGAGAGAGCAUAUCGUUAUACAGAAGUGUAUACACCUCCACCUAGUACCGCAACAUAUUAUACACCCCCUACAAAGUUGCAAAAUUUUGGCAACACUAAUAGUUCAUUGCCGAAAGAUCCUAAAAGCAUUGGGGGGCAAACUACACUAGAGCGGGCUGAAAUUGAGAGGGGAGUUAAAGCUUUGCGCGAUAGGGUGCAAGUACUUCGCCAAGAGAGAAUUGAUAGGGAAUUAGCUCAAAGAAAAUAAGCCUUGCCAAUUGAUAUAACCGGUGAAAAGAAUGAUGAUUCAGAAACUAAAAGUGCUUCGGUUGAAAAAGCCGAAUCAAGUUAUAUAUAUUCCGAAUCCAUCAAUUCGAAAGAGGAAAACAUUAUUGAGAAAGGGCAUAGAAAGUAUAGCAAGACAACCAUACUUGAUUUUUCUGAAGUUAAUGGAACCUACUUCCUGCUUUAUGAAUUCCGUGCCGUAGAAAUUGAGAAGCCUCAAGGACAAGAGCAAGUAGCCAAACAAGGUUCGGCUGAUAAGGAUCUUCAAGGUAAUGAUGCACGAAAUAAAGAAAAAGAAGAUGAAAAGGCGUUGGAGAGUCAUCCAAAGAUGAAGCUAGAUAUUGUUCAAGUCACACCACCAUCAUGCUCUCCCAGCGUAUUUGAAGAGGUAUGCAUAGCGAGUAAUUUACCUAUUUUCAGAUUUGGUCGCGACUUCAUUAUUGAUCCAUCUAUAAGAAAUAUUCUCAUAAGUAAUUUUGAAAGACCAAUGAAGAAGGGUAAUUUACUUGUUAGCAAUAAAGUUGUUAUGGAACAUAUCGGUCAACCCAUUGCACCAUUUAUAAAGACCGAUAAUGACUUAUUGUUACAGCCAAAGCUUUCCCCGUUGCUUUGUCUAAAGUUCAUAUCUAGUUGGGUAGCUUUGCUUAUUUCGUACUUGGCUUCCACUUGGUCUCAACUGAGACAUGUAUGUUCUAAAUAUCUUUGUGUCAGAAAUUUAAAGCCAAGGUUAAAUUCUAUUGAGAAAACCGAUGCAAAUAUAAUAUCUUAUCCAAAGACAUCGGAUAUAGAGUGGAAAACACAAUGCAUAGCCGAAUGGGGAGAUUCCAAAUCUGAACCAUUCGUUUCCUUAUCUCCAAAGCCGUUCACACAGUAAGAUCGGCUAGAAAACAAGAAGUAUACCUUCAAUUCAAGCAUGUGGGUUUAAAUAUUUGAUUUGUUGCUGAAAAAUAAUUACAUUACAAUUCUUGCUCACCAUGUUAAGCCAUCAAUCCAAGGACGAAUGUAUUGUAAGUUGCAUGAUUCAUUCAAGCAUAAUUUUGAGGAUUGCAACAUGUUUCGUCAAAUAGUUAAAUCAGCCAUUGAAAAAGGACGAUUGAAGUUUGUUGAGACACCAAGAGAUGACCGGUCUAUUCCGAUUUGUCCCGAUGGCAAAAAGUUUUUGCAUCGGCUGCUUCAAGCUGAUCCAUUUAAAGAGAAGGUAAAAACUACAGGUGAUGGGAUCAAGUUUUCAAGUAAAGAAGUUGUUGAAGAGCAUAAUAAACAUAAUCUUAAGGGCGAGAAUUCCAUCGAAGCUACAAUGGAGACGCCAAGGACUGGGGGCAGCAAGCAAAUCCAAUGAUCGAUGAAAGCAAACCAAAAGAAAACAAAGGCUGAAAUAAGCGCAAGUGUAAAAGAUCAAAAAUCACCUUUGCUGAACUAUUGGAGAAAUAUCAAAAUAAGAGUGAAGAGAAGAAUGCAUAUCGGCCCAAUCAUGCAAAGAAACCAAGAUCACCCCCAAGGCACAAAUAUGAGGAUCGGUAUUGGCAAAGUGAGAAUUUUAAUGCAACAUAUUCAUAUCCUUAUUUUGGGCCGCCAAUGCCAAUGCUGUGGGUGCCUCCCUAUGCUCAUGAAGAUCCAUAUCCAUCAUGGGACAUGUAUGAUACAAGGGCACAUUCUCUAUCUUAUUUUAGACCAUCUCACCAAUAUUAUGCAGUUCCGAGAAGAUCAACAUUUGAACAAUCACAUGUUAGAGACCGCUUCAAUCAUAAGGAAUCGGUCCAGAGCUCAAGGAAGAAGAAAGAGGUGGUCAAGGAAGUUUACCAUGUUAAAAGAGAUGGUCGUAAGAGUGCAACUUCAGAUUUGAUUGCUGGGGAACGUAGUAAUUUCAAAAAAAAUCCUACGCACACGCAAGAUCAUGGUGAUGCAUAGCAACGAGAGGGGAGAGUGUUGUCCAUGUACCCUCGUAGACUGAAAGCGGAAGCGUUAGCACAACGCGGUUGAUGUAGUCGUAUGUCUUCACGGCCCGACCGAUCAAGCACCGAAACUACGUCACCUCCGAGUUCUAGCACACGUUCAGCUCAAUGACGAUCCCCGGACUCCGAUCCAGCAGAAUGUCGGGGAAGAGUUUCAUCAGCACGACGGUGUGGUGACGAUCUUGAUUUUCUACUGUCGCAGGGCUUCGCCUAAGCACCACUACAAUAUUAUCGAGGACUAUGGUGGAGGGGGGCACCGCACACGGCUAAGAGAUCAAUGAUCAACUGUUGUGUCUCUGGGGUGCCCCCCUGCCCCCGUAUAUAAAGGAGCAAGGUAGGGAGGCGGCCGACCUAGGAGGAGGGCGCGCCAAGGGGGGAGUCCUACUCCCACCGGGAGUAGGACUCCUCCUUCCCUUGUUGGAGUAGGAGAGAAGGAAAGAGGGGGAGAGGAACAAGGAAAAGUGGGUUGCACCCCUUGUCCAAUUCGGACCAGAGGGGGGGGGCCUCCUUCCUUUUGGCCUCUCUCCUCUAUUCUCGUAUGGCCCAAUAAGGCCCAUAUACUCCCGGCGAAUUCCCGUAACUCUCCGGUAUUCCGAAAAAUACCUGAAUCACUCGGAACCUUUCCGAUGUCCGAAUAUAGUCGUCCAAUAUAUCGAUCUUCACGUCUCGACCAUUUCGAGACUCCUCGUCAUGCCCCUGAUCUCAUCCGGGACUCCAAACUCCUUCGGUACAUCAAAACUCAUAAUAUAACUGUCAUCCAAACCUUAAGCGUGCGGACCCUACGGGUUCGAGAACUAUGUAGACAUGACCGAGACACGUCUCCGGUCAAUAAACAAUAGCGGAACCUGGAUGCUCAUAUUGGCUCCCACAUAUUCUACGAAGAUCUUUAUCGGUCAGACCGCAUAACAACAUACGUUGUUCCCUUUGUCAUCGGUAUGUUACUUGCCCGAGAUUCGGUCGUCGGUAUCUCAAUACCUAGUUCAAUCUCGUUACCGGCAAGUCUCUUUUACUCGUUCCGUAAUACAUCAUCCUGCAACUAACUUAUUAGUUACAAUGCUUGCAAGGCUUAAGUGAUGUGCAUUACCGAGAGGGCCCAGAGAUACCUCUUCGACAAUCGGAGUGACAAAUCCUAAUCUCAAAAUACGCCAACCCAACAAGUACCUUCGGAGACACCUGUAGAGCACCUUUAUAAUCACCCAAUUACGUUGUGACGUUUGGUAGCACACAAAGUGUUCCUCUGGUAAACGGGAGUUGCAUAAUCUCAUAGUCAUAGGAACAUGUAUAAGUUAUGAAGAAAGCAAUAGCAACAAACUAAACGAUCAAAUGCUAAGCUAAUGGAAUGGGUCAAGUCAAUCACAUCAUUCUCCUAAUGAUGUGAUCCCGUUGAUCAAAUGACAACUCAUGUCUAUGGCUAGGAAACAUAACCAUCUUCGAUCAACGAGCUAGUCAAGUAGAGGCAUACUAGUGACACUCUGUUUGUCUAUGUAUUCACACAUGUAUUAUGUUUCCGGUUAAUACAAUUCUAGCAUGAAUAAUAAAGAUUUAUCAUGAAAUAAGGAAAUAAAUAAUAACUUUAUUAUUGCCUCUAGGGCAUAUUUCCUUCAGUCUCCCACUUGCACUAGAGUCAAUAAUGUAGUUCACAUCGCCAUGUGAUUUAACAUCAAUAGUUCACAUCACCAUGUGAUUAACACCCAUAGUUCACAUCGUCAUUUGAACAACACCCAAAGGGUUUACUAGAUUCAAUAAUCUAGCUAGUUCACAUCGCUAUGUGAUUAACGCCCAAAGAGUACUAGGGUGUGAUCAUGUUUUGCUUGUGAGAGAAGUUUAGUUAACGGGUCUGCCACAUUCAGAUUCGUAAGUAUUUUGCAAAUUUCUAUGUCAACAAUGCUCUGCACUAAGCUACUCUAGCUAAUUGCUCCCACUUUCAAUAUGUAUCCAGAUUGAGACUUUGAGUCAUCUGGAUCAGUGUCAAAACUUGCAUCGACGUAACCCUUUACAAUGAACCUUUUGUCACCUCCAUAAUCGAGAAACAUAUCCUUAUUCCACUAAGGAUAAUUUUGACCAAUGUCCAGUGAUCUACUCCUAGAUCACUAUUGUACUCCCUUGCCAAACUCAGGGCAGGGUAUACAAUAGGUCUGGUACACAGCAUGGCAUACUUUAUAGAACCUAUGGCUGAGGCAUAGGGAAUGACUUUCAUUCUCUCUCUAUCUUCUGUCGUGGUCGGGUUUUGAGUCUUACUCAAUUUCACACCUUGUAACACAGGCAAGAACUCCUUCUUUGACUGUUCCAUUUUGAACUACUUCAAAAUCUUGUCAAGGUAUGUACUCAUUGAAAAACUUAUCAAGCGUCUUGAUCUAUCUCUAUAGAUCUUGAUGCUCAAUAUGUAAGCAGUUUCACCAAGGUCUUUCUUUGAAAAACUCCUUUCAAACAUUCCUUUAUGCUUUGCAGAAUAAUUCUACAUUAUCUCCGAUCAACAAUAUGUCAUUCACAUAUAUUUAUCAGAAAUGUUGUAGUGCUCCCACUCACUUUCUUGUAAAUACAGGCUUCACCGCAAAUCUGUAUAAAACUAUAUGCUUUGAUCAACUUAUCAAAGCGUAUAUUCCAACUCCGAGAUGCUUGCACCAGUCCAUAGAUGGAUCGCUGGAGCUUGCAUGUUUUGUUAGCACCUUUAGGAUUGACAAAACCUUAUGGUUGCAUCAUAUACAACUCUUCUUUAAUAAAUCCAUUAAGGAAUGCAGUUUUGUUUAUCCAUUUGCCAGAUUUCAUAAAAUGCAGCAAUUGUUAACAUGAUUCGGACAGACUUAAGCAUAGAUACGAGUGAGAAACUCUCAUUGUAGUCAACACCUUGAACUUGUCGAAAACCUUUUGCGACAAUUCUAGCUUUGUAGAUAGUAACACUAAUAUCACCGUCCAUCUUCCUCUUGAAGAUCCAUUUAUUUUUUUAUGGCUUGCUGAUCAUCGAGCAAGUCAACCAAAGUCCACACUUUGUUCUCAUACAUGGAUCCCAUCUCAGAUUUUAUGGCCUCAAGCCAUUUUGCAGAAUCUGGGCUCAUCAUCGCUUCCUCAUAGUUCAUAGGCUCAUCAUGGUCAAGUAACAUGACCUCCAGAACAGGAUUACCGUACCACUCUGGUGCGAAUCUCACUCUGGUUUACCUACAAGGUUCGGUAGUAACUUGAUCUGAAGUUUACAUGAUCAUCAUCAUUAGCUUCCUCACUAAUUAGUGUAGUAGUCACAGGAACAGAUUUCUGUGAUGAACUACUUUCCAAUAAGGAAGCAGGUACAGUUACCUCAUCAAGUUCUACUUUCCUCCCACUCACUUCUUUCGAGAGGAACUCCUUCUCUAGAAAGGAUCCAUUCUCAGCAAUGAAUAUCUUGCCUUCGGAUCUGUGAUAGAAGGUGUACCCAACAUUUUCUAUUGGGUAUCCUAUGAAGAUGCACUACUCCGAUUUGGGUUUGAGCUUAUCAGGUUGAAACUUUUUCACAUAAGCAUUGCAACCUCAAACUUUAAGAAACGACAGCUUAGGUUUCUUGCCAAACCAUAGUUCAUACGGUGUCGUCUCAAUGGAUUUAGAUGGUGCCCUAUUUAAUGUGAAUGUAGUUGUCUCUAAUGCACAACCCCAAAACGAUAGUGGUAAAUCGGUAAGAGACAUCAUAGAUCGCACCAUAUCUAAUAAAGUACGGUUACGAUGUUCGAACACACCAUUAUACUGUAAUGGUGUUCCAGGUGGCGUGAGUAGUGAAACUUUUUCACAUUGUUUUAACUGAAGGCCAAACUCGUAACUCAAAUAUUUUACUUCUGCGAUCAUAUCGUAGAUACUUUUAUUUUUGUUACGAUGAUUCUCCACUUCACUAUGAAAUUCUUUGAACUUUUCAAAUGUUUCAAAUUUGUGUUUCAUCAAGUAGAUAUACUCAUAUCUGCUCAAAUCAUCUGUGAAGAUCAGAAAAUAAUGAUGUUGGGGAACGUAGCAGAAAUUCAAAAAAUUUCCUACGUAAGACCAAGAUCUAUCUAUGGAGAGACCAGCAACGAGUAGAAAGGGGAGUGCAUCUACAUACCCUUGUAGAUCGCUAAGCGGAAGCGUUCAAGUGAACGGGGUUGAUGGAGUCAUACUCGUCGUGAUUCAGAUCACCGAUGAUCAAGUGCCGAACGGACGGCACCUCCGCGUUCAACACACGUACAGCCCGGUGACGUCUCCCACGCCUUGAUCCAGCAAGGAGAGAGGGAGAGGUUGAGGAAGAAUCCAUCCAACAGCAGCACAACGGCGUGGUGGUGGUGGAGGAGCGUGGCAAUCCAGCAGGGCUUCGCUAAGCACCAUGGGAGACGAGGAGGAGGGAGAGGGGCAGGGCUGCACCAACGAGAGAUCAAAUCGCGUGUUAUGGGCAGCCCCUAGGCCUCAUAUAUAUAAGGGAAGGGGAGGGCUGCGCCCCCUUUGGGUUUCCCACCCCAAGGGGCGGCGGCCAGCCUCCAGAUGGCAUCUGGUGCGGCGGCCAAGAGGGGGGGGAGGAGUCCAUCCUCCCCAAGGCACCUCGGAGGUGCCUUCCCCCUUGAGGACUCUUCCCUCUAGGGUUCCCUAGGCGCAUGGGCCUCUUGGGGCUGGUGCCCUUGGCCCAUGUAGGCCAAGGCGCACCCCCUACAGCCCAUGUGCCCCCCCCCGGGGCAGGUGGCCCCACCCGGUGGGCCCCCGGGACCCUUCCGGUGGUCCCGGUACAAUACCGAUGACCCCGAAACUUGUCUCGAUGGCCGAAACAGGACUUCCUAUAUAUAAAUCUUUACCUCCGGACCAUUCCGGAACUCCUCGUGACAUCCGGGAUCUCAUCCGGGACUCCGAACAACAUUCGGUAACCACAUACAAGCUUCCUUUAUAACCCUAGCGUCAUCGAACCUUAAGUGUGUAGACCCUACGGGUUCGGGAGACAUGCAGACAUGACCGAGACGUUCUCCAGUCAAUAACCAACAGCAGGAUCUGGAUACCCAUGUUGGCUCCCACAUGUUCCACGAUGAUCUCAUCGGAUGAACCACGAUGUCAAGGACUCAAUCGAUCCCGUAUUCAAUUCCCUUUGUCUAGCGGUAUUUUACUUGCCCGAGAUUCGAUCGUCGGUAUACCAAUACCUUGUUCAAUCUCGUUACCGGCAAGUCACUUUACUCGUUCCGUAACACAUCAUCCCAUGAUCAACUCCUUGGUCACAUUGCGCAUAUGAUGAUGUCCUACCGAGUGGGCCCAGAGAUACCUCUCCGUUUACACGGAGUGACAAAUCCCAGUCUCGAUCCGCAUAAAACAAUAGAUACUUUCGGAGAUACCCGUAGUGCACCUUUAUAGUCACCCAGUUACGUUGUGACGUUUGAUACACCCAAAGCACUCCUACGGUAUCCAGGAGUUACACGAUCUCAUGGUCAAAGGAAGAGAUACUUGACAUUGGCAAAGCUCUAGCAAAUGAACUACACGAUCUUUUGUGCUAGUCUUAGGAUUGGGUCUUGUCCAUCACAUCAUUCUCCUAAUGAUGUGAUCCCGUUAUCAACGACAUCCAAUGUCCAUAGCCAGGAAACCAUGACUAUCUGUUGAUCACAACGAGCUAGUCAACUAGAGGCUCACUAGGGACAUAUUGUGGUCUAUGUAUUCACACGUGUAUUACGAUUUCCGGAUAAUACAGUUAUAGCAUGAAUAAAAGACAAUUAUCAUGAACAAGGAAAUAUAAUAAUAACUUAUUUAUUAUUGCCUCUAGGGCAUAUUUCCAACAGUCUCCCACUUGCACUAGAGUCAAUAAUCUAGUUCACAUCGCCAUGUGAUUAACACUCACAGGUCACAUCGCCAUGUGACUAAUACCCAAGAGUUUACUAGAGUCAGUAGUCUAGUUCACAUCAUUAUGUGAUUAACACUCAAUGAGUUUUAUGUUUGAUCAUGUUGCUUGUGAGAGAGGUUUUAGUCAACGGGUCUGAACCUUUCAGAUCCGUGUGUGCUUUACAAAUCUCUAUGUCAUCUCCUACAUGCAGCUACCACGCUCUAUUUGGAGCUAUUCCAAAUAACUGUUCUACUUGGAGCUAUUCUAAAUUAUUGCUCCAUUAUAUGUAUCCGGUCUCUCUACUCAGAGCUAUCCGGAUAGGUGUCAAGCUUGCAUCGACGUAACCUUUACGACGAACUCUUUUACCACCUCCAUAAUCGAGAAAAUUCCUUAGUCCACUAGUUACUAAGGAUAACUUUGACCGCUGUCUGUGAUCCAUUCUUGGAUCACUCUUGUACCCCUUGACUAACUCAUGGCAAGGCACACUUCAGGUGCGGUACACAACAUAGCAUACUAAAGAGCCUACAUCUUAAGCAUAGGGGACGACCUACGUCCUUUCUCUCUAUUCUGCCGUGGUCGAACUUUAAGUCUUAACUUCAUACCUUACAACUCAGGCAAGAACUCCUUCUUUGACUGGUCCAUCUUAAAUACCUUCAAGAUCAUGUCAAGGUAUGUGCUCAUUUGAAAGUAUUAUUAAGCAUUUUGAUCUAUCCUUAUAGAUCUUGAUGCUCAAUGUUCAAGUAGCUUAAUCCAGGCUUUCCAUUGAAAAACACUUUCAAAAUAACCCUAUAUGCUUUCUAGAAAUUCUACAUCAUUUCUGAUCAACAAUAUGUCAACAACAUAUACUCAUCAGAAAUUCUAUAGUGCUCCCACUCACUUCUUUGGAAAUACAAGUUUCUCAUAAACUUUGUACAAACCCAAAAUCUUUGAUCAUCAUCAAAGCAUACAUUCCAACUCCGAGAUGCUCACUCCAGUCCUUAGAAGGAUCGCUGGAGCUAGCAUACCUUUUAGCAUCCUUAGGAUCGACAAAAACUUUCUGAUUGUAUUACAUACAACCUUUCCUCACGAAAACUGGUAAGGAAACUCGUUUUGACAUCCGUCUGCCAGAUUUCAUAAAUUCAGCUAAUGCUAACAUGAUUCCGACGGACUUAAGCAUCGCUACGGAUGAGAAGAUCUCAUCGUAGUCAACUCCUUGAACUUGUGAAAAAACUCUUCGCCACAAGUCGAGCUUCAUAGACGGUGACAUUACCGUCCACGUCCGUCUUCUUCUUAAAGGAUCCAUUUAUCUCAAUGGAUUGCCGAUCAUCGGGCAAGUCCAUCAAAGUCCAUGCUUUGUUCUGAUAUAUGGAUACUAUCUCGGAUUUCAUGGCUUCUAACCAUUUGUCGGAAUUCGGGCCCACCAUCGCUUCUCCAUAGCUCGUAGGUUCAUUGUUGUCUAGCAACAUGACCUUCAAGACAGGGUCACCUUACCACUCCGAAGUAGUACGUGUCCUUGUCGUCCUACGAGGUUUGGUAGUGACUUGAUCCGAAGUUUCACGAUCAAUAUCAUAAGCUUCCACUUCAAUUGGUGUAGGUGCCACAGGAACAACUUCCUGUGCCCUGCCACACACUAGUUGAAGAGACGGUUCAAUAACCUCAUCAAGUCUCCACCAUCCUCCCACUCAACUCUUUCGAGAGAAACCCUUCCUCGAGAAAGGACCCGAUUCAAGAAACAAUCAAUAUUGCUUUCGGAUCUGAAUUAGGAGGUAUACCCAACUGUUUUGGUUUUCCUAUGAAGAUGCAUUUUAUCCGCUUUGGGUUCGAGCUUAUCAACCUGAAACUUUUUCAUAUAAGCGUCGCAGCCCCAAACUUUUAAGAAACGACAACUUAGGUUUCUCUAAACCAUAAUUCAUACGGUGUCAUCUCAUCGGAAUUACGUGGUGCCCUAUUUAAAGUGAAUGUGGUUGUCUCUAAUGCCUAACCCAUGAACGAUAGUGGUAAUUCGAUAAGAGACAUCAUGGUACGCACCAUAUCCAAUAGGGUGCAACUAUGAUGUUCGGACACACCAUCACACUAUGGUGUUCCAGGCGGUAUUAAUUGCGAAACAAUUUCCACAAUGUCUUAAUUGUGUGCCAAAACUCGUAACUCAGAUAUUCAUCUCUAUGAUCAUAUCAUAGACAUUUUAUCCUCUUGUCACAAUGAUCUGCUACUUCACUCUGAAAUUACUUGAACCAUUCAAUAAUUAAGACUUGUGUUUCAUCAAGUAAAUAUUCUCAACAUCUACUCGAAUCAUCUGUGAAGUAAGAUCAUAGCGAUAUUCACUGUAUGCCUCAGCACUCAUUGGAUUGGACAUAUCAAAAAUGUGUUACUUCCAACAAGUUGCUAUCUUGUUCCAUCUUACUGAAAACGAGGCUUUUCAGUCAUCUUGUCCAUGUGGUAUGAUUUGCAUAUCUCAAGUGAUUCAAAAUCAAGUGAGUCCAAACAAUCCAUUUGCAUGGAGUUUCUUCAUGCAUAUAUACCAAUAGACAUGGUUCGCAUGUCUCAAACUUUUCAAAAAAUGAGUGAGUCCAAAGAUCCAUCAACAUGGAGCUUCUUCAUGCGUUUUAUACCAUUAUGACUUACAUGGCAGUGCCACAAGUAAGUGGUACUAUCAUUACUAUCUUAUAUCUUUUGGCAUGAAAAUGUGUAUCACUACGAUCGAGAUUCAAUAAACCAUUCAGGUUUAAUACUAAUCUUGAUGGUAGAGGGAGCGUGCGAUGUUUGAUUAUAUCAAACUUGGAAACACUUCCAACACAUAUCGUCAGCUCUCCUUUAGCUAGUCUCCGUUUAUUCCGUAGCCUUUUAUUUCGAGUUACUAACACUUAGCAACUGAACCGGUAUCUAAUACCCUGGUGCUACUAGGAGUACUAGUAAAGUACACAUUAACAUAAUGUAUAUCCAAUAUACUUCUAUCGACCUUGCCAGCCUUCUCAUCUACCAAGUAUCUAGGGUAAUUCUGCUCUAGUGACUAUUCCCCUUAUCACAGAAGCACUUAGUCUCGGGUUUGGGUUCAAGCUCAGGUUUCUUCACUGGUGCAGCAGCUGAAUUGCCGUUUCAUGAAGUAUCCCUUCUUGCCCUUGCCCUUCUUGAAACUAGUGGUCUCACUGACCAUCAACGAUUGAUGCUCCUUCUUGAUUUCUACUUUCGCGGUGUCAAACAUCGCGAAUAUCUCAAGGAUCAUCAUAUAUGUCCCUGAUAUAUUAUAGUUCAUCACGAAGCUCUAGCAGCUUAGUGGUAAUGACUUCGGAGAAACUAUCACUAUUUCAUCUGGAAGAUCAACUCCCACUCGAUUCAAGUGAUUGUUGUGCUCAGACAAUCUGAGCACAAGCUCAACGAUUGAGCUUUUCUCCCUUAGUUUGCAGGCUAAGAAAAAAAACGUCGGAGGUCUUAUACCUCUUGACGUGGGCACGAGCCUGAAAUCCCAAUUUCAGCCCUCGAAACAUCUCAUAUGUUCCGCGAUGUUUCGAAAACGUCUUUGGUGCCUCUACUUAAACCAUUUAACUGAACUAUCACGUAGUUAUCAAAACGUGUAUGUUCGAUGUUCGAAACAUCCACAAACGACGUUUGGGGUUUAGCACACUAAGCGGUGCAUUAAGGACAUAAGCUAUCUACUGUCUGCAUAAUUGCUACUUUCAACUUUCAACCAUAUUUUCUCUAGGAACAUAUCUAAAACAGUAGAACUAUAGCGUGAACUACGACAUAAUUUGCAAAAGGUCUUUUGACUAUGUUCAGGAUAAUUAAGUUCAUCUUAUGAACUCCCACUUAGAUAGACAUCCCUCUGGUCAUCUAAGUGAUCACAUGAUCCGAGUCAACUAGGCCGUGUCCGAUCAUCACGUGAGACGGACUAGUCAUCAUCGGUGAACAUCUUCAUGUUGAUCGUAUCUACUAUACGACUCAUGCUCGACCUUUCGGUCUCCGUGUUCCGAGGCCAUGUCUGCACAUGCUAGGCUCGUCAAGUUAACCCUAAGUGUUUUCGCUGUGUAAAACUGUCUUACACCCGUUGUAUGUGAACGUAAGAAUCCAUCACACCCGAUCAUCACGUGGUGCUUAGAAGCGACGAACUGUAGCAACGGUGCACAGUUAGGGGAGAACACUUCUUGAAAUUGUUGUAAGGGAUCAUCUUAUUUACUACCGUCGUUCUAAGCAAAUAAGAUGUAUAAACAUGAUAAACAUCACAUGCAAUCAAAUAGUGACAUGAUAUGGCCAUCAUCACUUUGCUCCUUUUGAUCUCCAUCUUCGGGGCUCCAUGAUCAUCAUCGUCACCGGCAUGACACCAUGAUCUCCAUCAUCAUGAUCUCCAUCAUCGUGUCUUCAUGAAGUUGCCUCGCCAACUAUUACUUCUACUACUAUGGCUAACGGUUAGCAAUAAAGUAAAGUAAUUACAUGACGUUUAAGUUGACACGCAGGUCACAAAUAAAUAAAGACAACUCCUAUGGCUCCUGCCGGUUGUCAUACUCAUUGACAUGCAAGUCGUGAUUCCUAUUACAAGAACAUGAUCAAUCUCAUACAUCACAUAUAUCAUUCAUCACAUCCUUUUUGGCCAUAUCACAUCACAUAGCAUACCCUGCAAAAACAAGUUAGACGUCCUCUAAUUGUUGUUUGCAUGUUUUACGUGGCUGCUAUGGGUUUCUAGCAAGAACGUUUCUUACCUACGCAUGAACCACAACGUGAUAUGCCAAUUGCUAUUUACCCUUCAUAAGGACCCUUUUCAUCGAAUCCGAUCCGACUAAAGGGGGAGAGACAGACACCCGCCAGCUACCUUAUGCAACUAGUGCAUGUUUGUCGGUGGAACCGGUCUCACGUAAGCGUACGUGUAAGGUUGGUCCGGGCCGCUUCAUCCCACGAUGCCGCCGAAUCAAGAUAAGAUUAGUAACGGCAAGCAUAUUGAACAAUAUCGACGCCCACAACUACUUUGUGUUCUACUCGUGCAAAGAAUCUACGCAAUAGACCUAGCUCUGAUACCACUGUUGGGGAACGUAGCAGAAAUUCAAAAAAAUUUCCUACGUAACACCAAGAUCUAUCUAUGGAGAGACCAGCAACGAGUAGAAAGGAGAGUGCAUCUACAUACCCUUGUAGAUCGCUAAGCGGAAGCGUUCAAGUGAACGGGGUUGAUGGAGUCGUACUCGUCGUGAUUCAGAUCACCGAUGAUCCUAGUGCCGAAUGGACGGCACCUCCGCGUUCAACACACGUACAGCUCGACGAUGUCUCCCACGCCUUGAUCCAGCAAGGAGAGAGGGAGAGGUUGAGGAAGACUCCAUCCAGCAGCAGCACAACGGCGUGGUGGUGAUGGAGGAGCGUGGCAAUCCUGCAGGGCUUCGCCAAGCACCUACGGGAGAGGAGGAGGUGUCACGGGAGGGAGGGAGGCGCCAAGGGCUCAGGUAUGGAUGCCCUUAACUUCGUACCUUACAACUCAGGCAAGAACUCCUUUUUUGACUGAUCCAUCUUGAACACCUUCAAGAUCACGUCAAGGCAUGUGCUCAUUUGAAAGUACCAUUAAGCGUUUUGAUCUAUCCUUAUAGAUCUUGAUGCUCAAUGUUCAAGUAGCUUAAUCCAGGUUUUCCAUUGAAAACACUUUCCAAAUAACCCUAUAUGCUUUCCAGAAAUUCUACGUCAUUUCUGAUCAUUAAUAUGUCAACAACAUAUACUCAUCAGAAAUUCUAUAGUGCUCCCACUCACUUCUUUGGAAAUACAAGUUUCUCAUAAACUUUGUAUACACCCUAAAUCUUUGAUCAUCAUCAAAGCAUACAUUCCAACUCCGAGAUGCUCACUCCAGUCCUCAGAAGGAUUGCUGGAGCUUUGCAUACUUAUUAGCAUAUUUCAGGAUAGACAAAACCUUCCGGUUGUAUCACAUACAACCUUUCCUCAAGAAUCGUCGAGGAAACAAUGUUUUGACAUCCUAUCUGCAAGAUUUCAUAAAUAAUGCAGUAAUUGCUAAUAUAAUUCCAACAUACUCUUAGCAUCGCUACGAGUGAGAAAGUCUCAUCGUAGUCAACUCCUUGAACUUGUCGAAAAACAUCUCAACGACAAGUCGAGCUUUCUCAAUGGUGACACUUACCAUCAUUGUCUGUCUUCCUUUCAAAAUCCAUAUGUACCUAACAGCCUUACGACCAUCAAGUAGUUCUUCCAAAGUCUACACUUUGUUUUCAUACAUGGAUCCUCUCUCGGGUUUUAUGGCCUUGAGCCAUUUAUCGGAAUCCGGGCCCACCAUCGCUUCUCCAUAGCUCGUAGGUUCAUUGUUGUCUAGCAACAUGACUUCCAAGACAGGAUUACUGUACCACUCUGAAGUAGUACGUAUCCUUGUCACCCUACGAGUUUUGGGAGUGACUUGAUCUGAAGUUUCAUGAUCACUAUCAUAAGCUUCUACUUCAAUUGGUGUAGGUGCCACAGGAACAACUUCCUGUGCCCUGCUACACACUGGUUGAAGUGAUGGUUCAAUAACCUCAUCAAGUCUCCACCAUCCUCCCACUCAAUUCUUUCGAGAGAAACCUUUCCUCGAGAAAGGACCCAAUUCUAGAAACAAUUCAUAUUGCCUUCGGAUCUGAAUUAGGAGGUAUACCCAACUGUUUUGGGUGUCCUAUGAAGAUGUACUUUAUCCGCUUUGGGUUCGAGCUUAAUCCUGAAACUUUUUCACAUAAGCGUCGCAGCCCCAAACCUUUAAGAAACGACAACUUAGGUUUCUCUAAACCAUAAUUCAUACGGUGUCAUCUCAUCGGAAUUACGUGGUGCCCUAUUUAAAGUGAAUGUGGUUGUCUUUAAUGCCUAACCCAUAAACUAUCGUGGCAGUUCGAUACGAGACAUCACGGUAUGCAUCAUAUCCAAUAGGGUGCAACUAUGAUGUUCGGACACACCAUCACACUAUGGUGUUCCAGGCGGUAUUAAUUGUGAAACAAUUUCCACAAUGUCUUAAUUGUGUGCCAAAACUCGUAACUCAGAUACUCAUCUCUAUGAUCAUAUCAUAGACAUUUUAUCCUCUUGUCACAAUGAUCUUCUACUUCACUCUGAAAUUACUUGAACCAUUCAAUAAUUCAGACUUGUGUUUCAUCAAGUAAAUAUUCUCAACAUCUACUCGAAUCAUCUGUGAAGUAAGAACAUAACGAUAUUCACUGCAUGCCUCAGCACUCAUUGGACUGCACACAUCAAAAUGUGUUGCUUCCAACAAGUUGCUAUCUUGUUCCAUCUUACUGAAAACGACGCUUUUCAGUCAUCUUGCCCAUGUGGUAUGAUUUGCAUGUCCCAAGUGAUUCAAAAUCAAGUGAGUCAAAACGGUCCAUUUGCAUGGAGUUUCUUCAUGCAUAUACACCAAUAGACAUGGUUCGCAUGUCUCAAACUUUUCAAAAACGAGUGAGCCCAAAGAUCCAUCAAUAUGGAGCUUCUUCAUGCGUUUUAUACCGAUAUGACUUACGUGGCAGUGCCACAAGUAGGUGGUGCUAUCAUUACUAUCUUUUGGUAUGAACAUGUGUAUCACUACGAUCGAGAUUUAAUAAACCAUUCAUUUUAGGUGUAAGACCAUUGAAGGUAUUAUUCAAAUAAACAGAGUAACCAUUAUUCUCCUUAAAUGAAUAACCGUAUUGCGAUAGACGUAAUCCAAUCAUGUCUAUGCUCAACGCAAACACCAAAUAACAAUUAUUUAGGUUUAACACCAAUCUCUUUGGUAGAGGGAGCGUGCGAUGCUUGAUCAUAUCAAGCUUGGAAAAACUUCCAACACAUAUCGUCAGCUCACCUUUAGCUAGUCUCCGUUUAUUCCGUAGCCUUUAUUUCGAGUUACUAACACUUAGCAACCGAACCGGUAUCUAAUACCCUGGUGCUACUAGGAGUACUAGUAAAGUACACAUUAACAUAAUGUAUAUCCAAUAUACUUCUAUCGACUUUGCCAGCCUUCUCAUCUACCAAGUAUCUAGGGUAAUCCUGCUCCAGUGGUUGUUCCCCUUAUUACAGAAGCACUUAGUCUCGGGUUUGGGUUCAACCUCGGGUUUCUUCAUUGGUGCAGCAGCUGAUUUGCCGUUUCAUGAAGUAUCCCUUCUUUCCCUUGCCCUUCUUGAAACUAGUGGUUUCAUCAACCAUCAACAAUUGAUGCUCCUUCUUGAUUUCUACUUUCGCGAUGUCAAACAACGCGAAUACCUCAAGGAUCAUCAUCUCUAUCCUUGAUAUGUUAUAGUUCAUCACGAAGCUCUAGCAGCUUGGUGGCAAUGACUUUGGGGAAACAUCACUAUCUCAUCUGGAAGAUCAACUCCCACUCGAUUCAAGUGAUUGUUGCACUCAGACAAUCUGAGCACAAGCUCAACGAUUGAGCUUUUCUCCCUUAGUUUGCAGGCCAAGAAAAUCGUCGGAGGUCUUAUACCUCUUGACAUGGGCACGAGCUUGAAAUCCCAAUUUCAGCCCUCGAAACAUCUCAUAUGUUCCGCGAUGUUUAGAAAACGUCUUUGGUGCCUCUACUUAAACCAUUUAACUGAACUAUCACGUAGUUAUCAAAACGUGUAUGUUCGAUGUUCGAAACAUCCACAAACGACGUUUGGGGUUCAGCACACUGAGCAGUGCAUUAAGGACAUAAGCUUUCUACUGUUCGCAUAAUCGCUACUAUCAACUUUCAACUAUAUUUUCUCUAGGAACAUAUCUAAAACAGUAGAACUAAAGCGCGAGCUACGACAUAAUUUGCAAAAGGUCUUUUGACUAUGUUCAAGAUAAUUAAGUUCAUCUUAUGAACUCCCACUCAGAUAGACAUCCCUCUGGUCAUCUAAGUGAUCACAUGAUCCGAGUCAACUAGGCCGUGUCCGAUCAUCACGUGAGACGGACUAGUUAACGUCGGUGAACAUCUUCAUGUUGAUCGUAUCUACUAUACGACUCAUGCUCGACCUUUCGGUCUCCGUGUUCCGAGGCCAUGUCUGUACAUGCUAGGCUCGUCAAGUUAACCCUAAGUGUUUUUGCUGUGUAAAACUGUCUUACACCCGUUGUAUGUGAACGUAAGAAUCCAUCACACCCGAUCAUCACGUGGUGCUUAGAAGCGACGAACUGUAGCAACGGUGCACAGUUAGGGGAGAACACUUCUUGAAAUUGUUGUAAGGGAUCAUCUUAUUUACUACCGUCGUUCUAAGCAAACAAGAUGCAUAAACAUGAUAAACAUCACAUGCAAUCAAAUAGUGACAUGAUAUGGCCAAUAUCAUUUUGCUCCUUUUGAUCUUCAUCUUCGGGGCUCCAUGAUCAUCAUCGUCACCGGCAUGACACCAUGAUCUCCAUCAUCAUGAUCUCCAUCAUCGUGUCUUCAUGAAGUUGUCACGCCAACGACUACUUCUACUUCUAUGGCUAACGCGUUUAGCAAUAAAGUAAAGUAAUUUACAUGGCGUUCUUCAAUGACAUGCAGGUCAUACAAUAAAAAAAGACAACUCCUAUGGCUCCUGCCGGUUGUCAUACUCAUCGACAUGCAAGUCGUGAUUCCUAUUACAAGAACAUGAUCAAUCUCAUACAUCACAUAUAUCAUUCAUCACAUCCUUUUGGCCAUAUCACAUCACAAAGCAUACCCUGCAAAAACAAGUUAGACGUCCUCUAAUUGUUGUUUGCAUGUUUUACGUGGCUGCUAUGGGUUUCUAGCAAGAACGUUUCUUACCUACGCAAAACCACAACGUGAUAUGUCAAUUGCUAUUUACCCUUCAUAAGGACCCUUUUCAUCGAAUCCGUUCCGACUAAAGUGGGAGAGACUGGCACCCGCUAGCCACCUUAUGCACCAAGUGCAUGUCAAUCGGUGGAACCUGUCUCACGUAAGAGUACGUGUAAGGUCGGUCCGGGCCGCUUCAUCCCACAAUACCGUCGAAACAAGAUUGGACUAGUAACGGUAAGCAUAUUGAACAACAUCAACGCCCACAACUACUUUGUGUUCUACUCGUGCAAAGAAUCUACGCAAUAGACCUAGCUCAUGAUGCCACUGUUGGGGAACGUAGCAGAAAUUCAAAAAAUUUCCUACGUAAGACCAAGAUCUAUCUAUGGAGAGACCAGCAACGAGUAGAAAGGGGAGUGCAUCUACAUACCCUUGUAGAUCGCUAAGCGGAAGCGCUCAAGUGAACGGGGUUGAUGGAGUCAUACUCGUCGUGAUUCAGAUCACCGAUGAUCAAGUGCCGAACGGACGGCACCUCCGCGUUCAACACGCGUACAGCCCGGUGACGUCUCCCACGCCUUGAUCCAGCAAGGAGAGAGGGAGAGGUUGAGGAAGACUCCAUCCAACAGCAGCACAACGGCGUGGUGGUGGUGGAGGAGCGUGGCAAUCCAGCAGGGCUUCGCUAAGCACCAUGGGAGAGGAGGAGGAGGGAGAGGGGCAGGGCUGCACCAACGAGAGAUCAAAUCGCGUGUUAUGGGCAGCCCCUAGGCCUCAUAUAUAUAAGGGAAGGGGAGGGAUGCGCCCCCUUUAGGGUUUCCCACCCCAAGGGGCGGCGGCCAGCCUCCAGAUGGCAUCUGGUGCGGCGGCCAAGAGGGGGGGGGGAGGAGUCCAUCCUCCCCAAGGCACCUCGGAGGUGCCUUCCCCCUUGAGGACUCUUCCCUCUAGGGUUCCCUAGGUGCAUGGGCCUCUAGGGGCUGGUGCCCUUGGCCCAUGUAGGCCAAGGCGCACCCCCUACAGCCCAUGUGCCCCCCCGGGGCAGGUGGCCCCACCCGGUGGGCCCCCGGGACCCUUCCGGUGGUCCCGGUACAAUACCGAUGACCCCGAAACUUGUCUCGAUGGCCGAAACAGGACUUCCUAUAUAUAAAUCUUUACCUCCGGACCAUUCCGGAACUCCUCGUGACGUCCGGGAUCUCAUCCGGGACUCCGAACAACAUUCGGUAACCACAUACAAGCUUCCUUUAUAACCCUAGCGUCAUCGAACCUUAAGUGUGUAGACCCUACGGGUUCGGGAGACAUGCAGACAUGACCGAGACGUUCUCCAGUCAAUAACCAACAGCGGGAUCUGGAUACUCAUGUUGGCUCCCACAUGUUCCACGAUGAUCUCAUCGGAUGAACCACGAUGUCAAGGACUCAAUCGAUCCCGUAUUCAAUUCCCUUUGUCUAGCGGUAUUUUACUUGCCCGAGAUUCGAUCGUCGGUAUACCAAUACCUUGUUCAAUCUCGUUACCGGCAAGUCACUUUACUCGUUCCGUAACACAUCAUCCCGUGAUCAACUCCUUGGUCACAUUGCGCAUAUGAUGAUGUCCUACCGAGUGGGCCCAGAGAUACCUCUCCGUUUACACGGAGUGACAAAUCCCAGUCUCGAUCCGCAUAAAACAAUAGAUACUUUCGGAGAUACCCGUAGUGCACCUUUAUAGUCACCUAGUUACGUUGUGACGUUUGAUACACCCAAAGCACUCCUACGGUAUCCAGGAGUUACACGAUCUCAUGGUCAAAGGAAGAGAUACUUGACAUUGGCAAAGCUCUAGCAAAUGAACUACACGAUCUUUUGUGCUAGUCUUAGGAUUGGGUCUUGUCCAUCACAUCAUUCUCCUAAUGAUGUGAUCCCGUUAUCAACGACAUCCAAUGUCCAUAGCCAGGAAACCAUGACUAUCUGUUGAUCACAACGAGCUAGUCAACUAGAGGCUCACUAGGGACAUAUUGUGGUCUAUGUAUUCACACGUGUAUUACGAUUUCCGGAUAAUACAGUUAUAGCAUGAAUAAAAGACAAUUAUCAUGAACAAGGAAAUAUAAUAAUAACUUAUUUAUUAUUGCCUCUAGGGCAUAUUUCCAACAAAUGAUACCUGCCGCGAGCCUCAAUAUUCGUCGGACCACAUACAUCAGUAUGUAUGAUUUCCAACAAAUCUGUUGCUCGGUCCAUUGUUCCGGAGAACGAAGUCUUAGUCAUCUUGCCCAUGAGGCAUGGUUCACAAGCAUCAACUAAUUCAUAAUCAAGUGAUUCCAAAAGCCCAUCAGCAUGGAUUUUCGUCAUGCGCUUUACACCAAUAUAACCUAACCGGCAGUGCCACAAAUAAGUUGCACUAUCAUUAUUAACUUUGCAUCUUUUGGCUUCAAUAUUAUAAAAAUGUGUAUCACCACGAUCGAGAUCCAACAAACCAUUUUCAUUGGGUGUAUGACCAUAGAAGGUUUUAUUCAUGUAAACAGAACAACAAUUAUUCUCUAACUUACAUGAAUAACCGUAUUGCAAUAAACAUGAUCAAAUCAUAUUCAUGCUCAACGCAAACACCAAAUAACACGUAUUUAGGUUCAACACUAAUCCCGAAAGUAUAGGGAGUGUGCGAUGAUGAUCAUAUCAAUCUUGGAACUACUUCCAACACACAUCGUCACUUCACCCUUAACUAGUCUUUGUUCAUUCUGCAACUCCCAUUUCGAGUUACUACUCUUAGCAACUGAACCAGUAUCAAAUACCGAGGGGUUGCUACGAACACUAGUAAUAUACACAUCAAUAAUCUAUAUAUCAAAUAUACCUUUGUUCACUUUUCCAUCCUUCUUAUCCGCCAAUUACUUGGGGUAGUUCCGCUUCCAGUGACCAGUCCCUUUGCAGUAGAAGCACUCAGUUUCAGGCUUAGGUCCAGACUUGGGUUUUUUCACUUGAGCAGCAACUUGCUUGAUGUUCUUCUUGAAGUUCCCCUUUCUUCUAUUUGUCCCUUUACUUGAAACUAGUGAUUUUGUUUACCAUCAACACUUGAUGCUUUUCUUGAUUUCUACCUUCAUCGAUUUCAGCAUCACAAAGAGCUUGGGAAUCGUUUCCGUUAUCCCUUGCAUAUUAUAGUUCAUCACGAAGUUCUACUAACUUGGUGAUGGUGACUAGAGAAGUCUGUCAAUCACUAUUUUAUCUGGAAGAUUAACUCCCACUUUAUUCAAGCGAUUGUAGUACCUUGAAAAUUUGAGCACAUGCUCACUGCUUGAGCUAUUCUCCUCCAUCUUUUAGCUAUAGAACUUGUUGGAGACUUCAUAUCUCUCAACUCGGGUAUUUACUUGAAAUAUUAACUUCAACUCCUGGAAUAUCUCAUAUGGUCCAUGACGUUCAAAACGUCUUUGAAAUCCCGAUUCUAAGAUGUUAAGCAUGGUGCACUAAACUAUCAAGUAGUCAUCAUAUUGAGCUAGCCAAACGUUCAUAACGUCUGCAUCUGCUCCUGCAAUAGGUCAGUCACCUAGCGGUGAAUUAAAGACAUAAUUCUUCUGUGCAGCAAUGAGGAUAAACCUCAGAUCACGGACCCAGUCCGCAUCAUUGCUACUAUCAUCUUUCAACUUAGUUUUCUCUAGGAACACAUAUAAAACAUAGGGAAGCAAUAACGCGAGCUAUUGAUCUACAACAUAGAUAUGCAAAUACUAUCAGGACUAAGUUCAUGAUAAAUUAAAGUUCAAUUAAUCAUAUUACUUAAGAACUCCCACUUAGAAAGACAUCCCUCUAAUCUUCUAAGUGAUCACGUGAUCCAAAUCAACUAAACCAUAACCGAUCAUCACGUGAAAUGGAGUAGUUUUCAAUGGUGAACAUCACUAUGUUGAUCAUAUCUACUAUAUGAUUCACGCUUGACCUUUCGGUCUCAGUGUUCCGAGGCCAUAUCUGCAUAUGCUAGGCUCGUCAAGUUUAACCUGAGUAUUCUGCUUGUGCAAAACUGGCUUGCACCCGUUGUAGAUGGACGUAAAGCUUAUCACACCCGAUCAUCACAUGGUGUAUGGGCACGACAAACUUUGGCAACGGUGCAUACUCAGGGAGAACACUUUUAUCUUGAAAUUUAAUGAGAGAUCAUCUUAUAAUGCUACCAUCAAUCAAAGCAAGAUAAGAUGCAUAAAAGAUAAACAUCACAUGCAAUCAAUAUAAGUGAUAUGAUAUGACCAUCAUUAUCUUGUGCUUGUGAUCUCCAUCUCCGAAGCACCGUCAUGAUCACCAUCGUCACCGGCGCGACACCUUGAUCUCCAUCGUAGCAUCGUUGUCGUCUCGCCAAUCUUAUGCUUCCACGACUAUCGCUACCGCUUAGUGAUAAAGUAAAGCAUUACAACGCAAUUGCAUUGCAUACAAUAAAGCGACAACCAUAUGGCUCCUGUCAGUUGUCGAUAACUCAGUUACAAAACAUGAUCAUCUCAUACAAUAAAAUUUAGCAUCAUGUCUUGACCAUAUCACAUCACAACAUGCCCUGCAAAAACAAGUUAGACGUCCUCUACUUUGUUGUUGCAAGUUUUACGUGGCUGCUACGGGCUUAGCAAGAACCGUUCUUACCUACGCAUCAAAACCACAACGAUAGUUUGUCAAGUUGGUGUUGUUUUAACCUUCGCAAGGACCGGGCGUAGCCACACUCGGUUCAACUAAAGUUGGAGAAACUGACACCCGCCAGCCACCUGUGUGCAAAGCACGUCGGUAGAACCAGUCUCGCGUAAGCGUACGCGUAAUGUCGGUCCAGGCCGCUUCAUCCAACAAUACUGCUGAACCAAAGUAUGACAUGCUACUAAGCAGUAUGACUUAUAUCGCCUACAACUCACUUGUGUUCUACUCGUGCACAACAUCAACGCAUAAAACCUAGGCUCAGAUGCCACUGUUGGGGAACGUAGUAAUUUCAAAAAAAUUCCUACGCACACGCAAGAUCAUGGUGAUGCAUAGCAACGAGAGGGGAGAGUGUUGUCCACGUACCCUCGUAGACCGAAAGCGGAAGCGUUAGCACAACGCGGUUGAUGUAGUCGUACGUCUUCACGGCCCGACCGAUCAAGCAUCGAAACUACGGCACCUCCGAGUUCUAGCACACGCUCAGCUCGAUGACGAUCCCCGGACUCCGAUCCAGCAGAAUGUCGGGGAAGAGUUCCGUCAGCACGACGUUGUGGUGACGAUGUUGAUGUUCUACUGUCGCAGGGCUUCGCCUAAGCAUCACUACAAUAUUAUCGAGGACUAUGGUGGAGGGGGGCACCGCACACAGCUAAGAGAUCAAUGAUCAACUGUUGUGUCUCUGGGGUGCCCCCCUGCCCCCGUAUAUAAAGGAGCAAGGGAGGAAGGCGGCUGGCCUAGGAGGAGGGCGCGCCAAGGGGGGAGUCCUACUCCCACCGGGAGUAGGACUCCUCCUUCCCUUAUUGGAGUAGGAGAGAAGGAAAGAGGGGGAGAGGAACAAGGAAAAGUGGGCUGCACCCCUUCUCCAAUUCGGACCAGAGGGGGGGCGCGCGCCUCCUUCCUUUUGGCCUCUCUCCUCUAUUCCCGUAUGGCCCAAUAAGGCCCAUAUACUCCCCGACGAAUUCCCGUAACUCUCCGGUACUCCGAAAAAUACCCGAAUCACUCGGAACCUUUCCGAUGUCCGAAUAUAGUUGUCCAAUAUAUCAAUCUUUACGUCUCGACAAUUUCGAGACUCCUCGUCAUUUCCGCGAUCUCAUCCGGGACUCCGAACUCCUUCGGUACAUCAAAACUCAUAAACUCAUAAUAUAACUGUCAUCGAAACCUUAAGCGUGCGGACCCUACGGGUUCGAGAACUAUGUAGACAUGACCGAGACACGUCUCCGGUCAAUAAACAAUAGCGGAACCUAGAUUCUCAUAUUGGCUCCCACAUAUUCUACGAAGAUCUUUAUCGGUCAGACCGCAUAACAACAUACGUUGUUCCCUUUGUCAUCGGUAUGUUACUUGCCCGAGAUUCGGUCGUCGGUAUCUCAAUACCUAGUUCAAUCUUGUUACCGGCAAGUCUCUUUUACUCGUUCCGUAAUACAUCAUCCCGCAACUAACUUAUUAGUUACAAUGCUUGCAAGGCUUAAGUGAUGUGCAUUACCGAGAGGGCCCAGAGAUACCUCUUCGACAAUCGGAGUGACAAAUCCUAAUCUCGAAAUACGCCAACCCAACAAGUACCUUCGGAGACACCUGUAGAGCACCUUUAUAAUCACCCAGUUACGUUGUGACGUUUGGUAGCACACAAAGUGUUCCUCCGGUAAACGGGAGUUGCAUAAUCUCAUAGUCAUAGGAACAUGUAUAAGUUAUGAAGAAAGCAAUAGCAACAAACUAAACGAUCAAGUGCUAAGCUAAUGGAAUGGGUCAAGUCAAUCACAUCAUUCUCCUAAUGAUGUGAUCCCAUUGAUCAAGUGACAACUCAUGUCUAUGGCUAGGAAACAUAACCAUCUUCGAUCAACGAGCUAGUCAAGUAGAGGCAUACUAGUGACACUUUGUUUGUCUAUGUAUUCACACAUGUAUUAUGUUUCCGGUUAAUACAAUUCUAGCAUGAAUAAUAAAUAUUUAUCAUGAAAUAAGGAAAUAAAUAAUAACUUUAUUAUUGCCUCUAGGGCAUAUUUCCUUCAUUGAUCUCAAAUGAAAAAGAGCCAAUUAAUGUGUUGACAUUGGCUACUAAAGACAAUGAGACAAAUCAACCAAUUAUUGAGAGUCGUAGUGCCAAAUCUGAAGAAAAGAAGUUGAGAGUGCACAAGGUCAAAAAGGAAUUGCCAUUGGUCAAAAUAGAAUCACAGCCGAGAUGCCAACUCGGCUUAUCCUAUUGGCAAAAGAGGGAAUUACAAAAACUUAGUGCACAAGAACUUGAAGAAAGGAACAUGGCAUAGGUUCCCAAAGGAAGUGCUCAAAAUAAUAAUUAUGUGAAAGCAUCCAUUACACGACGUGCGGCAAAGAUGAAGAAGGAAAAGAGUGAAAACUAUGAAGGACCAAGCUGAAGGUUUCAACAUCUUCGGUCCACACAUUAUCCAUAUUCUUCAACUAUGCUGUUGAUGCCAAUGCCAUGGAAUUCAUCAUCAAGUAUGAUUGGUUACCCUCAAUGGGUUUAUUAUAAUCCAUAGAUGCAAUAUAAUUUCUUACAUCAUGAAAGGGUAUUGCCAAGUCACUAUACAUUUGAUUAGCUACAAGUUUGUUGCUGAUGCAAAGGAUCGAAAUACUUGAUUUGUCAUUUCAUUUGUUUAUUUCGGCUAUAUGUGCUUUGAAUAAAGUUUACAUGGUAAUGGCCGAUAUUUAUCGAUCGUCCUAAGAUUGUCUCAAUGCAUGGCCGGUGUAGUAUUCUAACAUCGUCCUUAGUUCGAUUGGAGAGCGAGACAAGGUACUUGCUCAUGGAAAUUUAUAUGUAUGCCUAUAUUAUGAUUGAAUGGAGUUGAGACAUCAUGACCGAUGUCAUUGAAUAUAUGCUGCAUAGACCAAUUCAUAGCUGCGGAAUUGGCUAGUGGGCUUAUACUUUGUUUAGAUAUGAUUUGGCUUAUGCAUCUUUGAGAUCUAUAAGAGGCCAAAUCAUAGCUGAUUUUAUUACUGAACAUCAGAUUAAUGUCAUGCAUAAUAUUAAUAUUAGCCUUGUCUCUCUAGUACUAUGGAGAUUAUGUUUUGAUGGUUCAAUUCAUAGCAAUUUCCAAAGUGUUGGUGUUGUUUAUAUAUCUCUUUAUGGUACUAUUUUUGAAGUCUCAUGCCACUUAGAAUAUUUCUAUGCAUGAUUAAUCAAGGCCGAAUAUGCAUUGUUAUUCGGAUUGACUCUUUUACUUGCUAUAGGUGCUAUACAUAUUGAGGCUUUUGGUAAUUCGUUAUGAGUAGUGCAACAAAUAUCUAAGGGUUAUCAAUGUUUUGAUGAAUCACUUAUAGUUUAUCUUGGGGUAUGUCUAGAUGCAAAAUUUACCUUGGGUUGCAUUAAAAUUGUUCAUAUAUUUAGACAUGUCAAUUGAAGAGAGUUGGCAUAGCAAGCAUCCUGCUACCAUGUCCGUCAUGGUGUAUUGCAUAUCUAUCAAUAGCCGAUGCUUAUUCUUGCCAACAUAGGUAAGGCCGAAUUGGAGCUCACUACCUCGGCCACUAAUGAAACUUUUAUGCAGACAAAGUAAGGUUUCGAGAAAGUUCAUUGUUGAUUAUCUGCAAGAUCCUAGCAGAAGAGUGGACAAUAUGGUUGGUGGAUGGUCUUGACAUGCAUACCUAUGGAACUUUAUAGUCGGAUUAAUGAAGUUAGGAAAGUCACCCAAGCUUGCAUCAAAAUAUUCACACAAGCAAUGGCCGAUAUAAGCUUAUCGUCCUAAGCAUAUGCAAAAUGGCCGAUGUAGUGUUGACAUCGUCCUUAGAGCAAGCUACAUGCAAGUUAUUUUUCGGCACGCAAGUUUUGCUGAAAAACAGGGGGGCAUGUGUUGACACCAGAUUUUGGCACGGUCAAGAACUUAUUUAAGAUGGCCUCAAAUGAAGAAAGUGAUAUAUAUGAAAGAGUUCUGUAUUAUUGAUAUGAACAUCUUUAAAGUUUGGGUCAUCGCGGUCCGAUUUCAUCUCGAAGGCUGAAACUAUGUUUAAAGUACUAAGAUCUUAUAUUCAGAGUACAGUUUGGCCGAUUAAGCCCCCAAGACGACCUUAAAUGGAAAAAUGAUCUACACGUGUUGUCUUCUCUCGUCGAAACGAUCGAUUUUGAUAUAAAAAUCGUCCAAAUCCGAGUUCGUAUGCAAAAGUUAGAGCAGUCGGAGUGCAGCCCUGUCACGAGACGAGAUGUGGCGCGGCCCACCAGACACAUGUCUGAUGGGUAGCGCAAGGGAAUAACUUGUUUUGUGCGACCGAUUUGACCCUCAAGAUGACCUCUGAUCAAAAAACUUCAACAUGAAAGUUGUUCGUCUCGUCGAAACGGUCAAGAUUGCUUUUGGGCUCGUUUUCAUCCGGGAUCGUUUACCACCACAAAAAAGACCCGCAAGGUGCAGCCAGUUUAAAUCGGACAGUUUUGGAAAGUUCGGAUAAAACCAAUCCGAAUUUGACUAGGGUUUUGGACGUGAAUCCAAGCCUUUUCCUUGCACGGGAAGUCCAGCCGCCUCUUAUAUAUCUAAGGGGUGACGGCCGAUUGAACAACACACAAUCAAUCAAUUCAUCUACCACUUUUUAUCUUUUAUCUUUUCUCCUUAACCCUAGUUCUUCUUCUUUCUCGUUCUUCAUCCGUUCUUCUUGUUGCAGGGCGGCGAACCUCGAGGCCCUAGGAGCGAUCAGGUCGACCUAGGGCAGCCCAUAGCCGCCGCGCGCCCUGACGGGGUCCCUCCCGGGCGCGUGGGGUUUCGGGUCAUCAAAAGCGCCCGCCGGAUUGCCUGCGUACCGCGCUUCCAGACGGGUCUCCUUCGACGUGAGCUGCGGUGCAUCACCCCGGCGUCGAAGGUACACGGUGACAUGUUCGUGUGCGAACACAUACCUGCGACAAGUAAUUCGGAACAAAGAGGGUAUAACCAACAUCUCAUUCUGCUUCAAUGAUGUACCAAUCACAUCAUUAAUAAUUUGAAAACAUGUUAACUGCAUUAAUCAUAAUGAGGAAAGACAUUAAAUACAUUAAACACAACUAAUCUUGGAAUUAACAUUAAUUAUGAUUAGUUUUGCAAAUAAUAUUACUGUCAAACCGAACGUGAGUGCACGUACACGAUUACUAGUUCUUCCUAACAGCACAGUUCUUACUUGCUUGGAAAUGAAUAGAAGAUGGACCCCCUAUUAUUCAGGCUUCUGUAAUUAUUAUUAUUUGCAUCGCGCAAAAUUUUGGACCGCUAGAUAUGGCCACAAACAGAUGCGCACUGCGGCCAGCAACGCUCCUGUAUGCCCCGCCGCACUCCUCCCUACCACCAUGGCGUCAUGCUGCCUCUGUCCCGAUCAUCCCUCUAAACCACCCCGUACGCUCCUGUAUGCCCCGCCGCACUCCUCCCUACCACCAUGGCGUCAUGCUGCCUCUGUCCCGAUCAUCCCUCUAAACCACCCCUUUCUCCGACGAACGCCGGCACCGACCCCCUACCCAGAGUCAACCUUCGAACUUCCUUUCGCGGUUCUCACUCAUCCACGGCUAGCACUCGCCGCCGAGACCACAGACGGCAACGACCUUCCCAUCUCGUGCUGAGGGCAGAGCAGAAAAGUGACCGAAGCGUCAAAAAAUUUCAGGCACAUGACGUUUAGCAAAAGCGAUACAAGAGCUUUGAGUACUUUUGCAAAGAAAAAAAAUCAAUGGUAACAAGCACGUGAAAGAAUCACAUCAGGCACAUGAUGUGAUAUGAAACUCUCACUGUGAGUAGCAGCUACUUAAAGCUGUAAGUCAUAAGAAAAAUACAUCCAUAUAUGACAUGUCCAUCAAUCCAAAUGUUAACGAAACCAGAAACCUAGACAUAAAGGUCACUCCGGUUUGCUCUAUGUGAGAUAAUCCAGACUAGCUGUAACGGAAAUUGAGAAUGGGACCGUAAAAAUCAGGUCCCAAGAAGCAAUGACAAAAUCGGGCGAGACGCUACUUUUCUAGUGCCGUCAACCACUAUCCACACUUGGCCGAUUAGUUAAUGGGAAGAACUGUCAUGGAGUAUGAGCAGAGGGGCCACUCUUCAUUGCCUGGACUGUUCCUUCUUGGCCUGUCUCCACAGUAUCUUCAUGUUUGCUCCUGUAACAAGAGUGGAAAACAUAAGAAUCUGAAGACGUCUAAUUCAGUAAUGAUAUCUAUGAAGGACAGACAGUUUUGGAAUGGCUUCCCAAUAUAUCUGCAUCAGGGUUAAUAAGAUUAGUAAGACAACUGAAUGGAACCCAUGAAAAUCUCCAUAGAUCUAUUCAGGAUAUCCUCAAGAACAAUGUUCUAGCACAUGUAUGCUUGCAUGGAGCAAAUAAUUACACAAUCUUCAUCAUAGAACACAAACACCAUUUCCCAGACACUGGUUAAUACUUCCUCCGUUCCAAAAUAUUUGCAGAGGAAGUAAUUAUCAACUUCUGCUUCAGCCAGAAGUCUAAUUUUUCUCUGUUUUUAGGAACAU
rnacentral:lncRNA from 1 species